rnacentral:rRNA from 1 species
UACGGAGGGUGCAAGCGUUAUCCGGAUUUACUGGGCGUAAAGAGCGCGCAGGCGGUCGAUCAAGUCGAGUGUGAAAGCCCCCGGCUCAACUGGGGAGGGUCAUUCGAUACUGAUCGACUCGAAGGCAGGAGAGGGUAGUGGAAUUCCCGGUGUAGUGGUGAAAUGCGUAGAUAUCGGGAGGAACACCAGUGGCGAAGGCGACUACCUGGCCUGUUCUUGACGCUGAGGCGCGAAAGCUAGGGGAGCAAACGGG